rnacentral:rRNA from 1 species
GUUUGAUCAUGGCUCAGAUUGAACGCUGGCGGCAGGCUUAACACAUGCAAGUCGAGCGGUAACAGGGGGUGCUUGCACCCCGCUGACGAGCGGCGGACGGGUGAGUAAUGCAUAGGAAACUGCCCAGUAGUGGGGGAUAGCCCGGGGAAACCCGGAUUAAUACCGCGUACGCCCUUCGGGGGAAAGCAGGGGAUCUUCGGACCUUGCGCUAUUGGAUGUGCCUAUGUCGGAUUAGCUAGUUGGUGGGGUAAAGGCCUACCAAGGCGACGAUCCGUAGCUGGUCUGAGAGGAUGAUCAGCCACAUCGGGACUGAGACACGGCCCGAACUCCUACGGGAGGCAGCAGUGGGGAAUAUUGGACAAUGGGCGCAAGCCUGAUCCAGCCAUGCCGCGUGAGUGAUGAAGGCCCUAGGGUUGUAAAACUCUUUCAGUGGUGAAGAUAAUGACGGUAACCACAGAAGAAGCUCCGGCUAACUCCGUGCCAGCAGCCGCGGUAAUAC